AGGUCGCCUCCUGAGGGUCUGCCUGCUCAGGUCACGGGUACUCUGGUAGAGAAGUGGAGUAUUAACAUCACAGAUACACACACACUAAUGGGAAGGAGCUCCCUCUGAAAACCGACAGCGGACAGCUACCAUGUCAAAGGACACCAAAGCCAUCAAUCACCAUUUCCAGUGUUGGGUGCCUGUGGGCAGCUCAUCUUGAGAGACAGAAAUGAGCAGCGACCCUGUGCAGGGAAUCAGCAGUCAUUGACCGGCCCCCAGCUCCAAGACUGCAUCGCCGCAAAGACAGCUCCACGGCAGAAAUCUGACGUAAUUCUCUGCGACACAGUUUGACAGGCUUGACCCCCUGAAGCGGUCCUAUACUUCUCACAGGCUGGAACUGGUGUGGUGGUGGACUCUGAGAGUGUGUAAAUGGACGGGCCUCUGUUUUAUCGGCAAUGCUCUGAAGUUGGCCACUAGAGGGCGCUAACGAGCUAUGGACUGGAAUUCUAGAUGCCCAUUUUAGUUCUUCAGAAAGCACAGUCGUCUCUUCUGGAUUCAGAACUCCAUCUCCAGCAUCAUGAUCUACAGAGAACCGGACACAAGACAAAACAAGCGAACACCAUCUUCUGAAAAUCAGGUUGCUUCUUUUAAACUGCCUUAGGUCACGUCAGCUCUGUGUUCCUGAGCGUCAAGGCUGAGCGGCUACACUGCAGCUGAAACAGAGCCAGCCAGCAGUGAGAGAGCUGCCUCUGUCUGGGCACUAGCGUGCUCUCAGGAGUUGUUUAGACUUCCAGCCCUCCUCUUCUCCAGUUCACGAAACAGGUGCCUUGCAGAAUCCAGAAGAGGACAGUGACUGUCACGGAGCUGGAGUUACUGGUGCCUGUGCAUGGCCACACAUGGGUGCUGGGAGCUGAACUCAGCUCCCUAGCCACGAAGACCACCCUUUCAGCCCUAAUAAUCACAUUUGUAAGAGGAGGGGAAGAAAGCCACUUUAAAUACUCUUGAAAGGUACUUCCAUGAAUGAAUAAAAGGAGCCAAGACAUAGAAGUGAGUUAUCU
ensembl:antisense Gm26555 predicted gene, 26555